rnacentral:rRNA from 1 species
GACGAACGCUGGCGGCGUGCUUAACACAUGCAAGUCGAACGAUGAACCCGGAGCUUGCUCCGGUGGAUUAGUGGCGAACGGGUGAGUAACACGUGAGUAACCUGCCCUUGACUCUGGGAUAACUGCGGGAAACUGUAGCUAAUACCGGAUACGACCCUCGGCGGCAUCGCCAGGGGGUGGAAAGAAUUUCGGUCAAGGAUGGACUCGCGGCCCAUCAGCUAGUUGGGGAGGUAACGGCUCACCAAGGCGACGACGGGUAGCCGGCCUGGGAGGGUGACCGGCCACACUGGAACUGAGCAACGGCCCAAACUCCGACGGGAGGAAGCAGGGGGGAAUAUUGGACGAUGGGCGCAAGCCUGAUGCAGCAUCGCCGCGUGAGGGAUGACGACCUUCGGGUUGUAAAGCUCUUUUACCCGGGACGUUAAUGACUGUACCGGGAGAAUAAGCCCCGGCUAACUUCGUGCCAGCCGCCGCCGUAA